rnacentral:rRNA from 1 species
UACAGAGGUCUUAACCGUUGUUCGGAUUCAUUGGGCGUAAAGGGUGCGUAGGCGGUCGCGCAAGUCGGAUGUGAAAUCUCAGGGCUCAACCCUGAAACUGCAUUCGAUACUGCGUGGCUAGAGUGCUGGAGAGGAGACUGGAAUUUACGGUGUAGCAGUGAAAUGCGUAGAUAUCGUAAGGAAGACCAGUGGCGAAGGCGAGUCUCUGGACAGUUACUGACGCUGAGGCACGAAGGCCAGGGGAGCAAACGGG